ensembl:snRNA U6 U6 spliceosomal RNA
GUGCUUCACUUCAAAAGCACAUAUACUAAAAUUAGAACAAUACAGAGAAGAUUAGUAUGGCCCCUGUGCAAGGAUGACACACAAAUUCAUGAAGCAUUCCAUAUUUCU